rnacentral:rRNA from 1 species
UACGGAGGGUGCAAGCGUUGCUCGGAAUUACUGGGCGUAAAGCGAGCGCAGGCGGUCUGUUAAGUCGGUUGUGAAAGCCCCGGGCUCAACCCGGGAACUGCGAUCGAAACUGGCAGACUUGAGUACGGGAGAGGGAAGUGGAAUUCCUGGUGUAGAGGUGAUAUUCGUUGAUAUCAGGAGGAACACCGGCGGCGAAGGCGACUUCCUGGCCCGAUACUGACGCUCAUGCUCGAAAGCGUGGGGAGCAAACAGG